ensembl:lncRNA LINC02112 long intergenic non-protein coding RNA 2112
GAGAGUCUGGCUGGAGGCCAAACAACACAAAACCAGCACACUUAACAAAAAUAUAACCAAUGACCCUUGCAGAGUCCACUUAACUCCCCUCCACCAGAGCAGGUGCUGGUAUCCACAGCUGAGAGACCUGAAGAUGGAUCACAUCACAGGACUCCUUGCAGACAUUCUCCAGUACCAGCCCAGAGCCUGGUAGGUCUGUUGGGUGGCUAGACCAGUAUUCUAAGUGAAGUAACUCGGAAAUGGAAAACCAAACAUCAUCUGUUCUCACUCAUCAGUAGGAGCUAAGCUAUGAGAACACAAAGACCUGUCCACGCUGAGUUUAUAGCAACUGUCAAUUACGGUUCAGAUUUUCCUACCCCAGCGUGACUUUCCAAAGAGGCUUCUGCUCAUGGAUUUCUGCUCCAGGAAGAUGCAACAGGAAGGUCCUCACAAGAUGGCUGAACAGAUGCAGGUGCUGUGCCUCUGGACUGCCUAGCCUCCAGAACUGAUACAUAUGCAGGAUGUGCAGCUUUGUUACACAGUAUGAAGCAUGUCUUUAGGACUUUCUGUGCCAUCUGGUAUCCAUCAAGGGGAGAGUCCCAAACUGCACUGGAAGGCAUCUUCCAGAUGGUGGUGGGCGCUAAAGAUCAGCUGUGUGGGUGUGAGCUUCCCAUGCCUGUGGAGAAGCAGCAAUUGAAUUGCUCAUCUGGAAUGAAGUUUCGUGGAUUUUUUUUUUUUUUGAACAGAUCACUGACUACUUCCAAUAUGCAAUACCAAGUAAAGACUGCAAAUGACUGUGCCACAGGGAGGAAAAGCAGUCAACCUGUCUUUAGGGACCUGUUCAAAUUUCUGGUGUCUCAGUGGAUGUUGAUUUCUGACAUAAAGCCAUUUGUGCACAUGAGGAAGAUACUGUAGGAGGCAUUUGCUGUGAGCCAGUGUUUGGUCUUUAGCUGAAACAGACAUUUAGCCAUAAACCACCAACCAGAAAGAUCAAUAAGACACGGUUCCUCUUCUGGUGGGCCACAUAAAGGAAGUUGUCAUGUUCCAACUUAAUGUGUGGGUUGAGAGGGAUCUGCACAAACGAGCGUCAUCGGGGAGAAAAAUAUAUCCCAGUCUGCGUGGUCACGGGGAGCUUCCUGGGCAAGCAACAUCUAGACUGGUGUUUGACCAAACUACUGGGCACCAUACCCCAGCCAAGUCAGCAUAUAAUGUGAACCAUCACAGUGGGAGACAUGUCACAAAGUGGUAAGACAGCAAGAAUUGGUGGUCUGGGCUGGAUUCCAGAGAACCUGGACUGUGCCUAUGAAGCACCACUGCCCUGUAGACCUGGGAUAAUAAACACUGAUGCCUAAAGGGACCAGGCAGGAACUCCUUCAUAGAUGAAUGCUUGGUGUUAUUCAUUACCCAGUCUUGAGGGACUCACUGGUGAGCUCGGGGCUCAGGGAGUAGACCUGACUGGGGAGCUAAGUGAUCUCGUGUGACUCUCUAUGCCUCGUUGCCACCAGCGUGGGCCAUCUCCAGGGGCUCUCAAACCGAUAGAAGACCUUGCGGUGUGGGAAAACAGCUCCAGAGCUUCUAAGCUGAGCGGAUUGUUCCUAGUGAGGAAGGUCUUGUCCCAUCUGUUCCAAGCUAUUUGUCCAUGUAAAACUGUCAACGUUCCAAGCCACUGACUGACAGGGUAAGAAGAGUGAGUCUCAAGAGAGUGAGGAACGGUGAAUCUUUGGCAGACUCUGUGUGUGCCCAUGGAAGAGACAGUGACAGAAAUUAUGUAAUGAAAAAAAUGUAGCACAAGCCUUAUGAAUUUUUACUUUUCACUCCAUGGGAUUCCCAUAUCAAAAGACCUAUUCUACACAAAAUAAAGUUCUCUA